UCAAGACAUGACCACUGUUCCCACUUUCCUCUUUUAAUCUAGCUGAGCUGAAGUCCACACACACAGGGGAGUACUGGUGUAUAGAUCUCCUGGAUCAAAAUGCUUAUAAGGUCAAUAUAAUAAACUUCAAUAUUUCUUUAGGUUGAGUGAAAACUGAAUGGAUGAAGAAUAUGCUAUUUUAGUAUCUGAACUCACCAAGGGAUGUUUUCAGGCAUCUGCUGAUGACCUUUAUGACCCAAAGCCAUACAUAUAUAGAGGAACUGAACAACUUUUUCAAGGCUCAGAUGUCCAUGAUUUGGCAAGGAAACAACAGGAGAGUUCCACAGAAGCCCAUGGGAAUUAAGACCAAGUGACAUUAAGGACACAGCCAGCUCUCUACAGGAGAUUAUGACAGCUAAACUAAGCUUUUCAGAGAAUUAAACUAAUUGAGAACAACAAGUCUUCCUGAUGAAGUGGCAUUUCCAUGGACCGCAGCAAGGAGAAAAACUUACUUGCUGAAGCCGUCAGACCUCACCAGUCCUCUUCCCACCUGCCUAUUACCUGGAGCGGGUCAAGAGAAGCAGGAAGCUGCCCUUCACUGUGGUUGUCUUCUCUCCAUGCUUAUGAACUGGAAAAUAUAAGUACAAGUCUUCUGGGCUUCACUAAAUUAAUUUUCCAAAGAGUUCUUCUGUGGCUUUAACGGACAGUGGAGUGAGUAUCGACUGAAUAGGCUCAAACUCUUGACUUUCAAAGAAAAACUGAAGACCUGUGAUAAGAUUAUUUUUAUAAAGAUAUCUAACCCUAAAAG